rnacentral:rRNA from 1 species
AGAGUUUGAUCCUGGCUCAGAUUGAACGCUGGCGGCAGGCCUAACACAUGCAAGUCGAGCGGUAGAGAGAAGCUUGCUUCUCUUGAGAGCGGCGGACGGGUGAGUAAUGCCUAGGAAUCUGCCUGGUAGUGGGGGAUAACGUUCGGAAACGGACGCUAAUACCGCAUACGUCCUACGGGAGAAAGCAGGGGACCUUCGGGCCUUGCGCUAUCAGAUGAGCCUAGGUCGGAUUAGCUAGUUGGUGAGGUAAUGGCUCACCAAGGCGACGAUCCGUAACUGGUCUGAGAGGAUGAUCAGUCACACUGGAACUGAGACACGGUCCAGACUCCUACGGGAGGCAGCAGUGGGGAAUAUUGGACAAUGGGCGAAAGCCUGAUCCAGCCAUGCCGCGUGUGUGAAGAAGGUCUUCGGAUUGUAAAGCACUUUAAGUUGGGAGGAAGGGUUGUAGAUUAAUACUCUGCAUUUUUGACGGUACCGACAGAAUAAGCACCGGCUACCUUGUGCCCAGCAGCCGGGUAAUACAAAGGGUGCAGCGUUAAUCGGAAUAC